rnacentral:rRNA from 1 species
AGUGAACGCUGGCGGUAGGCCUAACACAUGCAAGUCGAACGGCAGCACAGUAAGAGCUUGCUCUUACGGGUGGCGAGUGGCGGACGAGUGAGGAAUGCAUCGGAAUCUACUUUUUCGGGGGGGAUAACGUAGGGAAACUUACGCUAAUACCGCAUACGACCUACGGGUGAAAGCAGGGGAUCUUCGGACCUUGCGCGAUUGAAUGAGCCGAUGUCGGAUUAGCUAGUUGGCGGGGUAAAGGCCCACCAAGGCGACGAUCCGUAGCUGGUCUGAGAGGAUGAUCAGCCACACUGGAACUGAGACACGGUCCAGACUCCUACGGGAGGCAGCAGUGGGGAAUAUUGGACAAUGGGCGCAAGCCUGAUCCAGCCAUACCGCGUGGGUGAAGAAGGCCUUCGGGUUGUAAAGCCCUUUUGUUGGGAAAGAAAAGCAGCAGGUUAAUACCCCGCUGUUCUGACGGUACCCAAAGAAUAAGCACCGGCUAACUUCGUG